AGCGAACGCUGGCGGCAGGCUUAACACAUGCAAGUCGAACGGUCCUUCGGGACAGUGGCGGACGGGUGAGUAACACGUGGGAACGUACCCUUAGGUUCGGAACAACACAGGGAAACUUGUGCUAAUACCGGAUAAGCCCUUCGGGGGAAAGAUUUAUCGCCUUUGGAGCGGCCCGCGUCUGAUUAGCUUGUUGGUGAGGUAAUGGCUCACCAAGGCUACGAUCAGUAGCUGGUCUGAGAGGAUGGCCAGCCACACUGGGACUGAGACACGGCCCAGACUCCUACGGGAGGCAGCAGUGGGGAAUCUUGCGCAAUGGGCGAAAGCCUGACGCAGCCAUGCCGCGUGGAUGAUGAAGGUCUUAGGAUUGUAAAGUCCUUUCACCGGGGACGAUAAUGACGGUACCCGGAGAAGAAGCCCCGGCUAACUUCGUGCCAGCAGCCGCAGUAA
rnacentral:rRNA from 1 species